ACAUUCAUGGUGUAUAAGCUUAUCAGCGAGAAGUCCGUCAAUUCUAUUAGACUUAUUCGGGUUAAAAAGUGUCAAACAAGUUCGUUAAUGUUGCUAACUCUAUUCCAGGAGACAACUGGCCACCUCAGCUCCUACGGUUACUCAGUUACUCAGAUACUUCCUUCGGCCGGCAAAACACGCCGAGCAUUUCACUGUCCCUGUAUAGGUGCUCUGCGUAGAACAGUAAACUAGGAAAUACUGAUAGGUCAAGGGGAACAAAAGGCGGAAAUAACCGAAAUGACGGAAACCGAAAAUAAUGUUUUCGGUUUCCAAAAGCAAGGGCUUUUGUAUUUUUAUUUACAUUGAAACUUGCAUACACCAGCGAGAAAUACGUAAAUCCUUAUAGACGCUUUUUCAUGUGAAAAACUCAUUUAGAUUUAAAAUUUUUAAAUGUUGCUUUUAAUUUAUCCCAGGGCCACCUACUUCUACAUAGCAGUUUCUUAGCCCAAACACAUUAUGUGUGGCAGAGGCCAGAAUGUAUGCGUAGGAGAUGAAUCCUAGGUUUGAAGACUUCGGCCGCAAACAAUUAAUCAGCGGUAAGACCGCCGGGUCCCCAAAUCAUCGUACGACCAGGCUGAGAAAAUCGACCAGAAGAAAGUUACGCCUGAAAGUUUACUGAAACAAUUGGAUAAUUUCUAAAAUCAGAAGUUGACGACAUCGGAAGAGCACCAGACCUACAGGGCCCUACGGAUUACUGUGUCUAGCACUCCAAGCAAGAAAUUGGACUAUGACUAAUAGUGCAAAUGCAAUAAAAGGUAUAGCUCCAUUGUUAUCAGGAAAUGGCCAUGACUAAUGUAAGCCCAAAAACCUGUAGCAGUGGUCAGUGUGGUUAAACAUAAAAAGUCUAUUAGAGACAUUAGAUAGAAUUAUUAGCUGAGAACAUUUACUCAAUACUGUAUAACCUCAUGGUAAAUAUAAAGGAAAUAUCUUAUCCCUGUCAAAUGUUUAAUUUUCUCAUAAAUGUUACCUUGUAUCAUUAUUAUCAUUUCCAUUUGAGACUAUAAAAAGCAGACUGCGCUGCAGUCGAGUGGGCCGAAGGCCGACGAGACGGAACCAGUGGGCGAUGCCAUACUUGCCAAAAUGAAGCCUUUUGAUUGGUAUCAUUGGGCAUUCUGUAGUUUAUUAUAAAUAUAAGCUGGGAGCAUUAACUAAAUACUGUAAAUGCUCAUGGUAAAAAAAAGGUUACAUAUGAGGAAUAACUGUCCCUUGAAAUGUUAAAUUUUGUUACAAAUAUUACAUUAUGGCAUUAUUAUUAUUUCCAUAACUAGAAUAUAAAAAGCAGUCUGUGCAGCAGUCAAGUAGGCCGAAGGCCUACGAGACGGAACCAGUGGGCGAUGCCGUACUUGCCAAAACGAAGCCUUUUUAUUGGUAACAUUGGGCAUGCUGUAGUUAAUUAAAAUUAUAAUUAGCUACGAGCAUUAACUCAAUACUGUAAAAUGCUCAUGGUAAAUAAAAAGUUUAUAUAUGAGGAA